ensembl:misc_RNA Metazoa_SRP Metazoan signal recognition particle RNA
GCUGGGUGUGGUGGUGCACUCCUGUAGUCCCAGCUACUUGGGAGGCUGAGGAGGGAGGAUCCCUUGAGCCCAGGAGUUUGAGGUUAUAGUGAGCUAUGAUGGCACCACUACACUCCAGCCUGGGCAACAGAGCAAGACCCUGUCUCUA